rnacentral:rRNA from 1 species
UACAGAGGUCUCAAGCGUUUGUUCGGAUUCAUUGGGCGUAAAGGGUGUCGUAGGCGGCGCCGGUAAGUCGGGUGUGAAAUUCGAUGGCUUAACUCCGAAACUGCAUUCGAUACUGCGGUGCUUGAGGACUGGAGAGGAGACUGGAAUUCAUGGUGUAGCAGUGAAAUGCGUAGAGAUCAUGAGGAAGACCAGUGGCGAAGGCGGGUCUCUGGACAGUUCCUGACACUGAGACACGAAGGCCAGGGGAGCAAACGGG